rnacentral:rRNA from 1 species
UACGUAGGGUGCAAGCGUUGUCCGGAAUUAUUGGGCGUAAAGAGUUCGUAGGCGGUUACUUAAGUCUGGUGUUAAAGACGGGAGCUCAACUCCCGCAUGGCAUUGGAAACUGGGUAGCUAGAGUACGGUAGAGGUCACGGGAAUUCCUGGUGUAGCGGUGAAAUGCGUAGAUAUCAGGAGGAACACCGGUGGCGAAAGCGCGUGACUGGGCCGUAACUGACGCUGAGGAACGAAAGCCAGGGGAGCGAAAGGG